CCAGCCCCGACAGCGACCACACGGGAACGGAGAACCUUACAUUACGACGACGGGGGAGCUUCGCGAGACACUUCAGGGGGGCGCCGCCAUGGGCACUCUAUCCCAGGGGAUGGAGCGAGCGCCUCGCUGGCCAUCCAGUCAGAAGAACAUGGGAGCUAGGUGUGCUGCAAGCUAAGGGAAGGCGGCGAGCUCUGGCAAGAGCUGCAACCGGCAUGGGCGCAUCAGACGUAGAUGCGCCCACGAACGGUGCUGCAUCUGUUCUUGGGCAGUGCUGAAACGGGCCAAUGGAAAUGCUGGAAUCGACCGGCGGCAGUGAUGCAACCCGCUGGAACCGGCUGUACAGGAAGCUGCGAGGGCGGAGUUAACGAUGCCGCCGGAAAUCGCUGGUUUUUGCAUCUUCUUUAAAUAAUCGGUUCCAGCUUUUAAAAGCACCGGUUGUAGCUUUUUUUAUCAGCCGUUUGUAUCUUUUUGGAUCGCCAGUACCAGUUUUCAAUUACCGGUUGUAGCUUUUUGAUCAGCGGUUUACAACUUUUCUAAUUGCCGGUUCCAGCUUUUCCAAUCGAUGGUUCGAGCUUCUGUUUGUUUGCAUUUUUUUUUUACUGCUGGUGCUGGAAGUAGGGAUGUAAGUGGUAAAUAAAUGGCGUCCGCAAUCCCGUUUAGUUAGUUUUUGUUAGC
rnacentral:rRNA from 1 species